GCCGGGCGUUGUGGCGCAUGCCUGUAAUCCCAACCGCUGGGGAGGCUGAGACAGGAGGAUCAUGAGUUCAAAGUCAGCCUCAGCAGCAGCAAGGUGCUAAGCAACUCAGGGAGACCCUGUCUCUA
rnacentral:sRNA from 1 species